rnacentral:siRNA from 1 species
CGCAUACUUUGAUUACCUUGCCG